UACGAGGGGGGCAAGCGUUGUUCGGAAUUAUUGGGCGUAAAGGGUGCGUAGGCGGUUUGGUAAGUCUUAUGUGAAAUCUACAGGCUCAACUUGUAGUCUGCAUGAGAAACUGCCGGGCUUGAGUAUGGGAGAGGUGAGUGGAAUUCCUGGUGUAGCGGUGAAAUGCGUAGAUAUCAGGAGGAACACCUGUGGCGAAAGCGGCUCACUGGACCAUAACUGACACUGAGGCACGAAAGCGUGGGUAGCAAACAGG
rnacentral:rRNA from 1 species